CGAAGGCGGCCUCCUGGACCACUCCUGACACUCAGACGCGAAAGCUAGGGUAGCAAACGGGAUUAGAGACCCCGGUAGUCCUAGCCCUAAACGAUGUAGACUUGGCGUCGGUGGUUUAAUCGCCAUCGGUGUCGUAGCUAACGCGNUAAGUCUACCGCCUGGGGACUACGGCCGCAAGGUUAAAACUCAAAGGAAUUGACGGGUCCCCGCACAAGCAGCGGAGCGUGUGGUUUAAUUCGAUGCUACACGAAGAACCUUACCUGGGUUUGACAUAGAGGUAGUAGGGAAGCGAAAGCGGACCGACCCUUCGGGGAGCCUCUACAGGUGUUGCAUGGCUGUCGUCAGCUCGUGUCGUGAGAUGUUCGGUUAAGUCCGCUAACGAGCGCAACCCUCGCUGUGUGUUACAAGUGUCACACGGUACUGCCGAUAUUAAGUCA
rnacentral:rRNA from 1 species